UAUCUCUAGGAUUUUUUAUAUGAAGACUAGUGCAAGAAGGAUGUCCAUGAAUGAAGACAUACCUUGCUUUACUAACAGAUAAAGAAAGAAUAACUCUACCAAAGGUUAUAUGAUUAAGACCAAAUGUGAAAAUAUUGAGGAAAAACAUGGUCUUGUAGGGCUAGGUCUAAACCAGAAUUUAUAGAAAGAUUAAAAGAUUCCCUAGGUGUAGCUAAAAGUUCAUUAUCUUCUUGAUUAAAAGAUAGGACCUUGGCUAUAGAAAAGGGUUGGUUUUGACCUAUUGCAAUCAACUCCGGACACAAAUCAUAAUUAGGGGCAAAGAAAGGACUUGUUAACUCCCAUGGUCUAUGGCUGGUCUCCGAAGGUGCAAAAAAUUCAAUAAUAGGUGUGGAAUUUGAGUUAUCCAUAA
rnacentral:lncRNA from 1 species